UACGUAGGGUGCGAGCGUUGUCCGGAAUUAUUGGGCGUAAAGAGCUCGUAGGCGGUCUGUCGCGUCGGUCGUGAAAACUUGGGGCUUAACCCUGAGCUUGCGGUCGAUACGGGCAUGACUGGAGUUCGGCAGGGGAGACUGGAAUUCCUGGUGUAGCGGUGAAAUGCGCAGAUAUCAGGAGGAACACCGGUGGCGAAGGCGGGUCUCUGGGCCGAGUGACUGACGCUGGAGGAGCGAAAGCGUGGGGAGCGAACAGGA
rnacentral:rRNA from 1 species